AGCUCCCGGGAAAAGCGGGGUCGAGUCCGCGCUGUGACAGGUUUAAUGCAAAUUCAGUAGAAUUUCAACCCUGCACUGUGCAUUCCUCCAUCACAUGUGCAGUGCAUGUUUCCAUCACAUGCACAUAUAAUUCCCAGCAUGCUACGCACUACAGCAGGGCUAUUGAGGCCACACUAGUAUUUGAGCCCAAGGACUUCAUCCAGUCAGGUAAGUUUUGAUGAUAUUACUGGGGUAAAUAUAUUUGAUCUAUGGUAUUUAAGUUUAAUAGAAGUGUAAUUGUUACUGUAUGUCUGUAGACUACUCCAGCAGACUUCCACUCAAGCUAGCUAGCUGUUCCUGUACUUGCUAAAUGAUUUUGGGUAGGCUCUUUCCCCCGGACACGUCCUCUUUUGCGGGGGUGUCUGGGGUGUCCGGGCGGGGUUUCUUAAAUGCCUCAAAUGUCCGGCAUUUUUAAUUAGGGUUGCGUGUAUUUUCAAUGUACGUCCAGAGUUAAGAAGGGGUUAAACAAAACAAAGUGUGGAGGCGUGCGUGUAACACGGGUGGGAAAUAAGCGAUAUUUCCUCUCAUGGCAUCCCCUCAUAUUACAUGCGCCCUUUCCACGUUUAAUCUCGCGAGUUUAACUCACGCGCUCACGCGACCCGCUGCAGCCUAUCACGUGACCCGCCGCAGCCUAUCGCGCUCUAUAUGAUCCACCGUCCCAAGAUGGCUGCCAGGUGCGGUGGCUAAGCCUAGGGACAUCUGAAGCCGGUGCCGACCAUCAGGGCCGAGUUGCGACGAGAGAGUGUGUCGAUGUUAAGAUAUUAAGCCGAGUUGGCCAGGUCCCUAAGUCUUGGAUGGCGAGCUGUAGAUAGGCCUUGAGCCCGAACCCAAGGAUCUCCACCUCUCAACCCCUGAACUCCACCUGCUCUGGUCGGGCCGGUAGGCGGCUUAUAGCCGAUCCCCUUGCCUCGCACCUCAUUACUCUGCGGCCCUUUGCACUACCUCAUACACACCCUGCCCAUAAACUGAGAACUCUCACUACAAACUGCCAUAUCCACAACCCCAACCCGUGUGGCCGUAUGAACUGUGAAUGCGCAUAUGGACUGCGAUCAGAACUUUUGAUACUACCUUGUAUGAAUUACCUGAACUCUUAAUCAAUGAACUAAACCAACAUUGUUUGUUGAGAUUCCUUUUUGUUUUUUUCUAUUGUUUUGAAUGGCCAUUCCUAUCAAUGUCUGUCCACUAUUUGUUGCACUGUACAUAUUUAAAUAACACCAGUAACAUUUAAAGCAUUUAAUUGUGUCUGUCCUACUCUCUCCCGAGUCGUAAUCUAGACUUCUGAUUAGCCCAAUAUUGAGAACUUCUACUAUACUAGCUAAAGUACCUGUUACAUGCGCACGCAGAAACAUUCGUAAGGGAGGGGCAGAUACAGAGCGAGAGAGCUAGUGAGUGGAGAGACAGACAUGAAAACAAGAAAUGCCGAAACGUAAAUGCAACUUCACGGAUGAUUUGCGGAAAAAGUAUUUGUUUUGGUCCUGGCCGUGACACAUGGGAAGCAGAAUGCACUGUGUGCAAAGCAGGAACGUAUGUAUCUGUGGCAAAUAAAGAUCUACAAGCCCAUAUCGACACUACAAAGUACAAAACAGCUGUGCAGGGCGAGAGCUCGUCUGCUAAAUUGACAGAGUACUUUGUGCGACCUGGAAAAGGAGAAGACAUUGUAAACGCAGCAGAAGGUGUUUUAGCAUUCCACACAGUUACAGAAUAUAAGUGGGACUUAUUUUGUUAUACUGUCAAGCAGUGUUGGCGUUACCGCACUUUUUGUGUCUUUUUAAGCAUUGAAAUCAGAAAGGACUUUUUUUCUUUUUUUUACCUACCGCCCGGCUUACUUGUUUUUUUAUUGUCUUGAUUAUUGCUUUCCGCCAGUGUUUUUGUUUAUAUUUGCCAGGUCACGUUUCCGUCCCAGUGUAUUGCGAUUUUAUUGGUCGUAAAUUUUGAUUGGCCGAAAGUUUUGUCAAUGACAAACACUUCCUCAGUUUGCACUGGGACAAUUUUAGUGCGAGGUGCUGUCAAAAGAAAGACUUGAUGGUAAACAAUAAGGUGAGUGUAAAGUCAACCUUUUUAACUUCAUCCUGUGCCAAGUUUCCAGUAAAUGUCUUGUUUUAGUCUUUGUGAGUCCAUGGAAACUUUACUUUUAUCUCCCGCUGGAUCCACAUUGUUCCAGGAUGGAGACAGGCUAGCUGUUAGCUUCAAGCUAACUAGCACCCGAUCAGAUUCCUCCACCCCAAAAACAUACUUUUUAAAAUUAGUUUUCCAUCCAUCCAUCCAUUUUCUACUUCUUUUUUUAUUUAUUUUUUUAAUGGAUGAAGUAACGUUUAUGACAACCUUUUUCCAAAACACAAUAUAGAAUGUGAGAUACAACAGAAUAAUGCAUCCAUUUAUCAUUUGUUUUCAAAACGCUUACAAAAAAGUGGGACCCCAAAAUUUUACUGUGGUACCCCAUUGUUUUACUUGAUUUACUACAUUUUGAAAAUUCCUAGCACCAACACUGCUGUCAACAGAGGAGAAAAAUGCUUUAUUUAAAUAAAUAUAUUAUUUAUAAAGCAAGUUCGAGUAUCAUUGGCAAAUUUUCACCUAGUCCCGGCCUUGGCACGCAUAUAUGUCCUCUUUUUGGGAUUUCAGAAUAUGGUCAGCCUAAUUUUGGGGCCAAUAUCUCUAGCUAGCUAGG